GUGUGGGGAAGCUGAGAGCCAGAGCCACGCUCAGAGUGUUAAGACACUGAAACGUAAACAUCAACCAGAACCCAGCUGUGUGUCCUUUAAGAGCGACUGGUCAAAGGAAGCCAUCAUUAACUUCAAAUCUUCUGGACCUGCAUCCUCAGAGAGAGUGGACCAGCAGAACUCAGAGGUUCCCAGAGGUCCGUCUG